rnacentral:rRNA from 1 species
AUCCUGAGUACGGCCCAGCACGUGAAAUUGGGUCGGAAUCUGGGAGGACCAUCUCCCAAGGCUAAAUACUAACUAGUGACCGAUAGCGAACAAGUACCGUGAGGGAAAGGUGAAAAGAACCCCGGAAGGGGAGUGAAAUAGUUCUUGAAACCGUGUGCUUACAAGAAGUUCGAGGCCGUUAAUGGCUGAGAGCGUGCUUUUUGUAGAAUGAACCGGAGAGUUACGAUUGCGUGCAAGGUUAAGGUGCAAAGACUGGAGCCGUAGCGAAAGCGAGUCUUAAUAGGGCGAAUCAGUACGUAGUUGUAG